UUACCCGUAUUUUUUUAGACGUCCAUAUUUGUAGUUCUUUUUUCUUUUAUAGUGUGUAAACUGCAAAGAUGGACGUCUAGAAAAAUAUAGGCG
rnacentral:miRNA from 1 species